GCGGGGCGGGCGGAAGUGGCGGCGGGCGGAAGCGGCGCCAUGGGCGGCUGGCGUUGAGUGAGCGGCUCGCGAUGGCGGCGGCCCGCGGCUGCCCCCCGGCGGGACCCGGGGACCGCGGCCUGGCCGAGCUGCUGCUGGAGUUCUCCCGUGCCCAGUACCGCGCUAAGGAUGGCGGCGGGGCCGCUGCCAACAAGGUGGAGCGGAUCGAGCGGCGCUGCCUGGAGCUGUUCGGCCGGGAUUAUCGCUACAGCAUCAUCCACAACGCGCACGGCGAGGUCUGCGCGCACUACCCGCGGCACAUCGUCAUCAUGGAGCGGGACAACGCCGCCCCAACAGAACCGUUUGAGAGCACCGUGCAGGUUGGCAAACUGCAAGACCUCAUCAACCGAAGUAAGAUGGCGAGGUGUCGAGGACGAUUUGUCUGCCCAGUCAUUCUGUACAAGGGAAAGCAUAUUUGCAGAUCAGCAACGCUGGCUGGCUGGGGAGAGCUCUAUGGGCGCACUGGUUACAACUACAUCUUCUCAGGGGGUUCUGACGAUGCUUGGGCAGAUGCAGAAGACAUUUCAGAGGAAGAUUCUGCACUGAGAAAUGCAGACUCUCAGCUGUUUGACAAGGUCAGAGGGCACGACAUCAAGCUGCUUCGGUACCUCUCUGUCCGAUAUAUCUGUGACCUGAUGGUGGAAAACAAGAAGGUGAAGUUUGGCUUGAAUGUGACGUCUUCUGAGAAGGUGGACAAAGCUCAACGUUACGCUGAUUUCACGCUUCUCUCCAUCCCAUAUCCAGGCUGUGAAUUCUUUAAGGAGUACAAAGACCGGGAUUAUACAGCUGAAGGUCUCAUAUUUAACUGGAAACAGGAUUAUGUAGAUGCUCCAUUAAGUAUCCCAGCAUCGUUGACCCAAUCUCUCAGUAUUGAUUGGAGUGAGUACCAGAGCUGGGACCUCGUACAACAGACACAGAACUACCUGAAGCUGCUGAUCUCUAUCAUCAACAGUGAUGAUGACAGUGGGCUCCUGGUGCACUGUAUAUCCGGCUGGGAUCGAACUCCUCUCUUCAUCUCCUUAUUGCGCCUCUCCUUAUGGGCUGAUGGACUGAUCCAUGCGUCCCUGGAGCCAUCUGAGAUUCUCUACCUGACGGUGGCCUAUGACUGGUUCCUCUUUGGGCACAUGUUAGUCGAUCGACUCAAUAAGGGAGAAGAGAUUUUCUUCUUCUGCUUCAAUUUUCUGAAGCACAUCACCUCUGAGGAGUUCUCUGCUCUGAAGUCACAGAGAAGGAAGAGUUUGCCACCUGGCUUCACCUUGGAAGAGAUCUGCAUGCUCAAGCAGAGAGACCGAGGCAGCACCACGAGUCUGAGCAGCGACUUCUCCCUGGGGAUGGAAAGCUCCCCUGGAGCAGCAGGGAGCUUCACCUAUGAAGCAGUGGAGCUGAUGCCAGCAGGAGCACAGGCCCAAGCAGCAUGGAGGAAGAGCUGUGCAUCAUCACCUCAGGCCGUGCUGUGGAGCAGGGCACAGCAGUCUGAAGAUAGGCUGCCUUCUGCAGGGAUGGUCGAAGUCAAGUCCUCCAGCUCCUCCUCAUCAACCCAUUCUGAUAACUUCCUGAGGAUCGGCAGCAGCCCGCUGGAGGUGCCCAGAUCCAGGCUAGAGGAAAUGAGCCUGGAGACCCUGCUGAGAGUGGGUGGAAUUGUCAAGGCAACGGCUGAACUGAGCUUCUCUUUGAAACCAAGUCUUCUGGCACGAUUGUGCUCCUUUGCCUCGUAGUCCCUUGCCAGAUCAGCCAGACUCUGCCCUGCCUGCCUCCUCAGGAUACAUAACACUGAUACCAGCUUUGCUAGCUGGGGACUUGAGCAGUGCAUUGCCUUGCUGAAUGAUGACAUGGGUUACAUCUGUGUGGCCUGAGCGUGGUAUGGUUUAUCUCCAAAGAGAGAUCUCACUCAGCUUUGCUGUGUCAGUCUGAAUUUGCCCAGUGAACUUCAUGCAGGUAAUGGUUAUCACAGUAUCUUCAGCCACCAUUUUUCAUCAUGAAGGAGAAGGAGAGACCUGUUUUGUGUGGAGAAAGAAUAUAUCUGUGAUGGAAGGAACAGUUAACUUCUCUCACUCCCUGAACAAUGGCAGGACUGGGAUGGAAAGGCUGUAGCACAAAGACUAAUCAUGAUGCCAAAAAUACCUUUAUCUCUGCAAUACUGCUGCAGGUUAGCACCCUAGCCUCUUAAGAUGAAGAAACUACUGUACUUGACUUCCUAAUCCUCUGGUUGUGUGGCCAUAGCAACAAAACACUUAACCACUGCAGCAGCAGUAGAGGAAAAGUGGUUGCUUGUAAAAUGCCAGCAGGCACCCUCCAGGCAGUUCACAUAAACAGCCCAGUCCAUGUGCUGGCAGGCAGGGAGCUCAGCAGGGAAUGAGAAGGGAAAGCAAGCAAGCUGAGAGAUGAGCAGCACAUGAGCAAGGAGCUGGGGUAUCCAAAAGAAAAGCUGAGCCCCUCUCCUAAAUGGGUUGUGACAGCAGCCUCCUUGUCAGCCCAUCCUUUGAGCCUGCUCCCAUCCAGAUGUCCUGGGUGUCCGUAUGUCCCUGGGUGAUUCUCGUUAGGCAGAGCAGUACAAAGGCAGAUUUGAAAGGCAGACUCUCACUAGGCAGCCUUUUUAGCUUAUCCCAAUGGUGAGAUCAAUCUGGUGAGGGCAAAUGUGCAUGAAGAUGCAGCACAGACAAUCUGCAGAGUAAGACAAGGUGCAUCUUGUUCUACAAAUUGAGAGCUCUGAGUAUGGCAGAUAGAGUGCAUCGACUCAGACUCCUUGCCUGUGAAUGGGCAGUGUUAGAUGCAAACACAGGACGUCGUUUGCAAGCCACUAAUAGUCUAAGCAUCCCAUGACACUGCAGGAAAACCCUGUAUCUGUGUCAGGGAUUUAGUGUGUGUGCACAUACUGCUAAACGUGGAUUAGCAGAUGGAUAAUCUUUGGUUGAAUGUGCUUUUGCUAAGUCAAUUAAACAAAAGCUGUAGUACUGCAGUCUGAAGAGUUAAGCCAUGGAGGAGCUGCUUCGGUCAAUAGUCACAGGGAGCUCCCUUGCUGAAGGGCUGGAGGUGGUGCAGUGAAGGCAGGGAGGGGCAGGGAAGCUGCUGACCCACUCCUUUGGGUCUUUGGUAGUGAUGAGACCGUAUGUGCACUGUGUGUUCUGCUCCUUACAUCCACCUGCACUGGGAGCUGUGUCUGCAGUGCGACAGCAGUAAGACUUGGGACAGCAACUGCAACAGCACAGGAACUGUUUACAAGAAUGUUUUCUGGAUGAUGCCACCAAAGCAGUUUGCCAGGACUCUGGCUGGCACGUGACUGUGCUCCAACAUGGUUGUGCUCACACAGCACUGGCUGCUUGAGCUGCUACAGCACUAACAGCCUGCAGAUAACGGACUGGGAUCCAGGCAGGGCCGUCAGCAGGGCUCCCUGCCAAGUCCUCCUUGCCAACUGUUCCCACGCACAGGUGGGAAGGACUGCCCUUUACUCCAGGUUGCCACAGUCUGCCUGCACCUACAGUACCUACUUCACACUUGCAUUUGAGGCACAGAGCAUAUGCUGGCAAAUGAGCUGCUUCCUAAACAGCUCUAGGUAUGUGGAAACGUGGCAGGUGAGCGGGGGCAGAACAGGGCAGGAUGAGAGCCUAGCUGUUGGGUGCUUGGCACUCAUCUUACGUAUUAAGGAAUGGAAGGAUCCCUGAUUGCUGCUCUGCCUCCGGUAUUGGCUCUUCUCUGAUCGGCGGACCAUUCUCUGCCCGGAUCUUCCGUUUCCACAGACUUUGGCAGCUGGCAGAUGGUGACAGGGUGUGGCAGUAUUCGGGAGCAGGCAACCCUGAGCGCAGACGCCU